rnacentral:lncRNA from 1 species
GUGUUUGUGAGUAUCUAAGGAGAUUGGCCAUGAAGCAUCCCAGAGAGGUGAGGAGGUACUAUUAGUAUUGCGGCUGCAAAAGCUUGGCUCAGAGUGACCUUGGAGGGCACCAGAAAGGAUGAGCCAACCCAGUGUCACAUGUCCUCAAAGACUAAAGUUUUCUUGAAUCUCUGCUCUCACUUCCUGGCAAGUAUCAGUCCCUUCUCUGCCUAUGAUGUCUUCUCGUCCUCUCAGAACUGGGUCCGACCCCACUGGCUAAGAAGCCUGUCUGAGGCUCCUUUUUCUAAAAGGGGAACACAUGGAUUGCCACAACCCCAUUGGAAGCAUUUUUCCUUCUGUCAUCAGUAUCACGCUCUGUGGAGAGCCUCUUCCAGCCUCCAGAGGACAGGUUUUACAGGUUGCCGAGGAACUGGAUUGAUUUUGGAGAGCCUUGAAUGCCAUGUGGAGUUUGGACUUGAAGCUGAGAUUUUAAACAAUCCCGUGCUGCUGCUGACCCCAUGUUAGAUUUGCCUUGCCAUGUGAAAAAGAGCAACAUCCCACACUUGCCCGUCCUGCGCCCUUUCUUGCUUGAAGCUACAGCAACUCGCAAAACCUGUCAUCUGUCCUGGGCUGCAAGAGGCUUUGACUUUGCCUGUGCGUGGCCCCUGGAAGUCCAGAUGUUUUCACUGCAGGGGAAGGAGCUCAUUUGGGAAAAAAAAAAAAAAAAAAAAUCCAAUUGUUUGUAAUGUGAUGCAAUUUUCUCUUGAAAUCAAUUAGCAUCUCCCUAAUUCCUCUGCAUACAAUUGCUUUCAAAAAUAAAUUCCAGG